rnacentral:rRNA from 1 species
AGGCCUGCACUGUGUGAAGUAUAAAUAAUUCUACUUUGAAACUGCGAAUGGCUCAUUAUAUCAGUUAUAGUUUAUUAGAAAUACUGUACUACUUGGAUAACCGUAGUAAUUCUAGGGCUAAUACAUGAAUAAAUCCUCAACUUUGAAAAAGGGGGGUUAUUUAUAUGAAAACCCUAUGCUCUUGCAUGAUAAUGAGGAAUAAUAACCUUUCUUAUCAUAUGUUGAAAUAACAAUACUUCUUUCCUUUUUCGGCCCUGCCCUAUUUCCUUGGUAUGGUAUUGGACGACACUGCCAUGAACGGGAAAGGAAAAAUUUAGGUUCGAUUUCAUAUAGGAAACCGGACAGAAGGCAACCACAUCCCAUGAAGGGAACGCGCCCGGAACUUACCCUACCCUGACCUAAGGAGGGAGGGACAAGACAUCACAUUGCGGGGCUAAUCUAUUUAGCUUUGGAAUUGGAAAGAAAGCAAAGUACUAAUGUUAACAAAAUUGAAGGGGAGGGCAGGUCCGGUGCCCCCCGCCACUUCAAUUCCAACUCCCAUAUCUUAACUUAGUGGUGUUGAAAAAACAAAGCUCA